AGCAGUAGCCACGGUAAUACGUAGGUGGCGAGCGUUGUCCGGAAUUAUUGGGCGUAAAGGGAGCGCAGGCGGACAUAUAAGUCCAUCUUAAAAGUGCGGGGCUCAACCCCGUGAUGGGAGAGAAACUAUCGGUCUUGAGUACAGGAGAGGAAAGCGGAAUUCCCAGUGUAGCGGCGAAAUGCGUAGAUAUUGGGAAGAACACCAGUGGCGAAGGCGGCUUUCUGGACUGCAACUGACGCUGAGGCUCGAAAGCCAGGGGAGCGAACGGGAUUAGAGACCCCCGUAGUCCCUGUCUCUUAUACC
rnacentral:rRNA from 1 species